GACGAACGCUGGCGGCGUGCUUAACACAUGCAAGUCGAACGGAAAGGCCCUGCUUUUGUGGGGUGCUCGAGUGGCGAACGGGUGAGUAACACGUGAGUAACCUGCCCUUGACUUUGGGAUAACUUCAGGAAACUGGGGCUAAUACCGGAUAGGAGCUCCUGCUGCAUGGUGGGGGUUGGAAAGUUUCGGCGGUUGGGGAUGGACUCGCGGCUUAUCAGCUUGUUGGUGGGGUAGUGGCUUACCAAGGCUUUGACGGGUAGCCGGCCUGAGAGGGUGACCGGCCACAUUGGGACUGAGAGACGGCCCAGACUCCUACGGGAGGCAGCAGUGGGGAGUAUUGCACAAUGGGCGGAAGCCUGAUGCAGCAGCGCCGCGUGCGUGAUGACGGCCUUCGGGUUGUAAACCGCUUUCGCCUGUGACGAAGCGUGAGUGACGGUAAUGGGUAAAGAAGCACCGGCUAACUACGUG
rnacentral:rRNA from 1 species